GUCCCUGUCGUGCAAUGGAUAGUGCCUUGGACAUCUAAUCCAAAGGUCAUGGAUUCGAAUCCCACCUGGGAUA